ACGCAACGCGCAGAACCUUACCUGGGCUUGACAUCCCGAUCGCACUUUCUGGAAACAGAGAGGUCAGUUCGGCUGGAUCGGUGACAGGUGCUGCAUGGCUGUCGUCAGCUCGUGUCGUGAGAUGUUGGGUUAAGUCCCGCAACGAGCGCAACCCUCGUCCUUAGUUGCCAGCAUUAAGUUGGGCACUCUAAGGAGACUGCCGGUGUUAAACCGGAGGAAGGCGGGGAUGACGUCAAGUCCUCAUGGCCCUUAUGCCCAGGGCUACACACGUGCUACAAUGGCCGGUACAAAGGGUAGCAAGACCGCGAGGUGGAGCCAAUCCCAAAAAGCCGGUCUCAGUUCGGAUUGGAGUCUGCAACUCGACUCCAUGAAGUUGGAAUCGUUAGUAAUCGUGGAUCAGCAUGCCACGGUGAAUACGUUCCCGGGCCUU
rnacentral:rRNA from 1 species